UACAGAGGGGGCAAGCGUUGUUCGGAAUUACUGGGCGUAAAGGGCGCGUAGGCGGCCUGCUAAGUCGAACGUGAAAUCCCUGGGCUCAACCCAGGAACUGCGUCCGAUACUGGUUGGCUUGAAUCCGGGAGAGGGAUGUGGAAUUCCAGGUGUAGCGGUGAAAUGCGUAGAUAUCUGGAGGAACACCGGUGGCGAAGGCGACAUCCUGGACCGGUAUUGACGCUGAGGCGCGAAAGCCAGGGGAGCAAGCGGG
rnacentral:rRNA from 1 species